ACAGUCCUAGUUAUCACGAUCUA
rnacentral:siRNA from 1 species